rnacentral:rRNA from 1 species
CGGGAUGCUGCAGCAGUGGGGAAUAUUGCACAAUGGGCGCAAGCCUGAUGCAGCCAUGCCGCGUGUAUGAAGAAGGCCUUCGGGUUGUAAAGUACUUUCAGCGGGGAGGAAGGGAGUAAAGUUAAUACCUUUGCUCAUUGACGUUACCCGCAGAAGAAGCACCGGCUAACUCCGUGCCAGCAGCCGCGGUAAUACGGAGGGUGCAAGCGUUAAUCGGAAUUACUGGGCGUAAAGCGCACGCAGGCGGUUUGUUAAGUCAGAUGUGAAAUCCCCGGGCUCAACCUGGGAACUGCAUCUGAUACUGGCAAGCUUGAGUCUCGUAGAGGGGGGUAGAAUUCCAGGUGUAGCGGUGAAAUGCGUAGAGAUCUGGAGGAAUACCGGUGGCGAAGGCGGCCCCCUGGACGAAGACUGACGCUCAGGUGCGAAAGCGUGGGGAGCAAACAGGAUUAGAUACCCUCGUAGUC